GUGAGUCGGGUGUGAAACCCCUAGGCGCAACCGAGGGACGCCACCCGAUACUGCUGUGGCUAGAGUCCAGUAGGGGAGUGUGGAAUUCCCGGUGUAGCGGUGAAAUGCGCAGAUAUCGGGAGGAACACCAGCGGCGAAGGCGGCACUCUGGGCUGGAACUGACGCUGAGGAGCGAAAGCGUGGGUAGCAAACAGG
rnacentral:rRNA from 1 species